rnacentral:rRNA from 1 species
UACGUAGGGGGCUAGCGUUGUCCGGAAUCAUUGGGCGUAAAGAGCGCGUAGGCGGCCAGAUAAGUCCGGUGUGAAAGUCAAAGGCUCAACCUUUGAAUGCCGCUGGAAACUGUCUGGCUAGAGUCCGGGAGGGGCGAGUGGAAUUCCUGGUGUAGCGGUGAAAUGCGUAGAUAUCAGGAGGAACACCGGUGGUGUAGACGGCUCACUGGACCGUAACUGACGCUGAGACACGAAAGCGUGGGUAGCAAACAGG